rnacentral:piRNA from 1 species
UAGAAGGUAGUAUUUUUCCUAUUUUAGAA